GUCCUACGGGGCGCAGCAGUGGGGGAUAUUGCACAAUGGGGGGAACCCUGAUGCAGCGACGCCGCGUGGGUGAAGGAGUAUUUCGGUAUGUAAAGCCCUAUCGGCAGGGAAGAAGCAAGACGGUACCUGACUAAGAAGCCCCGGCUAACUACGUGCCAGCAGCCGCGGUAAUACGUAGGGGGCGAGCGUUAUCCGGAUUUACUGGGGGUAAAGGGAGCGCAGGCGGCACGGCAAGCCUGAUGUGAAAGCC
rnacentral:rRNA from 1 species